UAUGCUAAAAUAGAUUAGAUAGUGUAUGAGUAUACACUUAUACUGAUGAUGAGCGCAUCGGAGCUCUUCCACAACCGGAGGUCGUCUCAGGUGGGCCGCGGUAGCCCCGAUCUAUGUUCCGAUCAGACCUCUCAUCGACGCCACCACUGCAAUUAUCACGUUUAUCAUCUUCAUCAUCAUCACCAAGAUUCCCAAGCCUCCGAUCCUCUUCGACGUUGGAGAACAGCCAAGUAGUUGGUAAAGGUUACGCUGAAGUGAUAAUUGAUGCAGACGAGGUUGCUGUUGCAGCUAGCCCAAGCGGAACUGCCCAUGCUUUAGUAAAUGUGGAUCCAAUUCGAAGUUCAUACUUUAUUGGGUGCCAAGACAGUAUUGUAAAUUAUAGCAACUCAUCUACUGAUUUUAAUGUCUGGAAAGAUCUUUAAGCUUUAUUUUUUGCAAGUUUUGCUUGGUUUCCCUUUUCUGUCUAACAUGCUUCAUUUUUUUUUUUUAAUUGCCCAAUAGGUGAUUACUGUACUAGGGCAUUCCAAGGUUAAAAGUUUACUUUUUCUCGUCAAUGCUGUAUUUUAGGCACUAGACAGCAACAACAUCCUCCAAGUUCUCAUAGGGUAAGUCAUGAAAAGUUGGUGUUAGUUUUUUGUGCCAGCUAUGAUUUUAUGGGGUCAGCAUGUUUCUUUGUUUGAUUAUAAUUAGAAUGGAAUUGGGUGCUGUGUAGGGCUUGUUAUUUGAGGAGAAAAACAGGCUGGGUCAAUAUGUUUUGUUAUGUGCAUCAAUUUCAGUGUCAUCUUGUCGGUAUCCCCAUUUACCAACCGCUGAAGGUUUCUUAAAGGAUUAAAUCUUUGUUGUUUCAGUCCCUCCUGUUGUGGGUAUUGGUGACCCGAUGCGUCAGCAUGAAGAACUUCUAAGGAGUACGCUAAUGGAUGGGAAUCUUCAAUGGCUUGGUUAUUUGUCAUCAACUAAUAUGCCAGAGAAGAUACACACUAUCUAUUGUAUAUAUAUGAUUUAAUGAGAAUCAAGUUGUAUGCAAUGCCUAAAGAGGCCGAAAAUAUUGAUGCUCCGUUAGUAGAGGUAAUUCCUCCUGCACCAUUAGCAUCUUCUAUGGAUUUUAUGGGAUUGUGAGUUUUUUCCCCUUAAGUGAUUUUUACACUCUGCCUUCAUGUGAUAUUGUGUAUUAUAAUAUUUUUGUGUUAAUAUUAUGUUAGUUUCAAGACAUUUGUGGUGUUGUGUUAGUAGAGCUAAAACUAUUAUAGGUUUUUUUGUAAUAGAUCUG